CGAGUGAACAGGGAUGAGCCCAACACCGAAGCCUUCGGUCAUUUGUCCGUUAGGCAAUGUGGUGUUCAGGUUGAUUCGUUGAGACACUGCUCCUCUCUAAGUCCAUCAAUGAGUACGGUUGUACUUACAUGGCCCCCGGAGGGUGAAAGGCCCGUAGGAGUGGAGUUCAGUCACGACAGUGUCUCUCUGAGUUGACCUUGGAGUCGGGUUGUUUGGGAAUGCAGCCCAAAGUGGGUGGUAAACUCCAUCCAAGGCUAAAUACAAGCACGAGUCCGAUAGCAAACAAGUACCGUGAGGGAAAGUUGAAAAGUACUUUGAAGAGAGAGUAAACAGUGCGUGAAACCGCUUAGAGGUAAACGGGUGGAGUUGAACUGCAAUCUCUGUGAAUUCAGCUGGUGAAAGUGAAUUGAGCUUGGUCAAAUUGGGCAGGGCCUCGGGGUAUGCUUAGCUGCAUGUCCUGAUCUUCGGGUCGGGAUGCGCGUUGCUCUUAUCAGGAGCUGUGCGCCUCGGGUGUCCGGCUGGCUCGUUCGCCAGUGCACUUUCUCAGAGUGAUCACCACGACCGGCGCUGCCGUUCGGCUGUCGGGGUUAAAUCGGUCAUUCAUCGUCCUUGUGGUGUUGUUUGGUCGACACGGCAGGUCACUGGGUGCUCGCUUCGGCGCGCAUUCCGGUAUAUGCUGGCCUGGACGGUUCUGUGCGGUGCGUCGGAGACGGCGGCUUUUGUGUAUACACGUGCUCUGUCUGCUGAUGUAUUCUGACUCGGUGGCUGUGUGCUUGUUCAAGCAGGCCCAGUUAUAGUCGGUGUAUGUCGGUGGGUGGUUGCGUGUGUGACACUUCAUUGGGCCCAUAGUCUGUGGUGUUGUGGUAGACUGUCCAUCCGACCCGUCUUGAAACACGGACCAAGGAGAGUAACAUGUGCGCGAGUCAUUGGGCGUAACGAAACCCAAAGGCGCAGUGAAAGUGAAGGUUUGGCUUGUCCAGACUAAGGUGAGAUCUUGUCGUUUCUCAUGCGUGGUACCACCAAGCUUAGAGCGGCAGGCGCAUCACCGGCCCGUCCCAUGACGUAGUCACUGUCUCCGGAUGGUGCGCCGUCGGGGCGGAGCAUGAGCGUACAUGUUGAGACCCGAAAGAUGGUGAACUAUGCUUGCGCAGGUUGAAGCCAGAGGAAACUCUGGUGGAGGACCGCAGCGAUUCUGACGUGCAAAUCGAUCGUCAAACGUGAGUAUAGG
rnacentral:rRNA from 1 species